rnacentral:rRNA from 1 species
UACGUAGGGUGCGAGCGUUAAUCGGAAUUACUGGGCGUAAAGCGUGCGCAGGCGGUUCGCCGUGUCCUGGGGGAAAGCCCCGGGCUCAACCUGGGAAUGGCAUGGGAAACUGGCGGGCUGGAGUGUGGCAGAGGGGGGUGGAAUUCCGCGUGUAGCAGUGAAAUGCGUAGAGAUGCGGAGGAACACCGAUGGCGAAGGCAGCCCCCUGGGCCAACACUGACGCUCAGGCACGAAAGCGUGGGGAGCAAACAGG